UCUCGUCUUCUUCAUUCCCACAAAUCCCUAAAUCGUUAAAUCUCUAAAUCGUUAGUUGCAAUGAUUAUUAAAUCUCAAAUCCCUAAUUCUCUUUGAAAUCCCUAAAUCCCAAAUCCCUAAAUCGUUUUCAUUCUUCUUCACAGCAAACACAUAAAAUUCUUCAUUCUUCUCUUUGAAACCCAAAUCCCUAAAUCACCUUCUUCUCUUUGAAACCCCAAACUGUGUUCUUCAUUCAUCGUGUUCUGGAAGCGUGUUCUUCAUUCGUCGUGUUCUCAGGUAUUAAUCUUCGUUCUAAUUUCUGGUUUUAGGGUUUAUGCAAUUGGGGUUUAUGUUAAAGCCUAGGGUUCAUAUAAUUUCGUUUUUCUUUUUAGGGUUCAUGUUAAGAUGGAACUGGCCGUUGUAUAUAAUAGCCACUUUACGCAUCUAUUAUUCAUAUAAAGAUAUGCAUUUUUUUUUCAAAUGUUAAUUGAAUUCAAUACAAGUGACAGGAUUAAUGCUUCUGUAGAUUUCUAGGUAGCUUGGCAUGGAAAUGUGAUUUUCCUGCUGAAUAGAAACAAGGUGUAGCCGUGUAGGGAAUGCCCAUGGUCAAGACCAAUGUUAUAAUUUCUUUGAAUUUGUGAGGCUAUUAGUUCUUGGUUGUUACUAGCAGAAUAUUCAGCAUAGUACGGAAAGGGAAAUGUGAUUUUGGUUUCAUUCAUUAUGCAGAGAGGUCAAGUGCAUUGAAAACUGUAAAAGAGACAGAGAAAUAUGAAAUUGAUGGUACAUGAUAUAUACAGUUUAGCUCGUUCUAAAGCAGUGUUGCCCUUGCAAGUUUGUCUGUUUUUUCUUUCUAUGAUAUUGUAUUUGAUCUAUCAUUCGAUUUUCCUGUUUUUGAGUGAAAUUGUAUAUCAUGAAUAAAAAAUUGUGAAACCAAN
rnacentral:lncRNA from 1 species